rnacentral:rRNA from 1 species
GGGCCCGCACAAGCAGUGGAGCAUGUGGUUUAAUUCGAUGCAACGCGAAGAACCUUACCAGGGCUUGACAUACUACAAAUCUUUUAGAGAUAGAAGAGUGCUUUCGAGAAUUGUAGAUACAGGUGGUGCAUGGCUGUCGUCAGCUCGUGUCGUGAGAUGUUGGUUAAGUCCCGCAACGAGCGCAACCCUCGUUUUUAGUUGCCAAUUUAUUGGUUUUUUUAGAAAGACUGCCGGUGACAAACCGGAGGAAGGUGAGGAUGACGUCAAGUCAGCAUGCCCCUUAUGUCCUGGGCUACACACGUGCUACAAUGAUGGGGACAAAGAGUUGCCAAUCCGCGAGGAUGAG